UUUGUUUGUGGGUUUUCAAGUGUUGGCGAUUUAGACAUGUUCCGCGCCACGUCUGCCGAGCCCUCUCCUGACAAAUCCAGCAUUGAUGCUGAGAAGAAAGCAGCAAAGCAAGCUGUUUUUAUUACUAUGAAGUGUUUUGUGGCGUACGUAGCGAUUUUACGUGCAGCUCCUUAUAUAUAUGAAUUUUUAUCAUGAUGGUAAAUGAAGACUGCAAUGCUGUUUGUGAAGACUGUUGUAUGUGAAGACUGGGGUAUACUUUUCUCUGGAAGAGUAUUCUUUGACUGCUUAAUGUUGGGACUAUAAGACAAUAAAACAAUACAAUGUAAAAACAAUGUCAAGACUGAGCUAGCUACUAUCUGUAUGCACAAGUGGAUGAUGCAAGACAUUUACAAAAUGGGACUUUGGAGUCACAAUUUUGAAAUCUUGGAUUUAUACAAGUGUUCUUACAUAAAAAAGUUUAUUAUCAAUUCAAUAUGUUAUAACAGCCUGCAUGCUGUACUACAGUUAUUGAAGGAAGCACCAUUUAGACAGGCUAUUCUACAAAAGAAUAAAUGGUAUCUAUCAUUAAAAAUGUACAAAACAUUUAUGAAAUAUCUUACAAUGUUGUCUGCCAUUUACCUGUGAAUGAGGUACUAUUAUUUACUACAAUUCUGUCUGCAAAUAUUACUAAGCUGCUUACAAAUGUUAUUUUUCUUUUUUUUUUUUAUAUCUGUUAAACAUGUAGAAUUAAGCCUUUUGGGAGAGCAAAGUGCUUUAUCUUAAAAACUCCUGGGUCAAGCCCCUCAAAAAGGCUUCCUUUAUAUUAUACUCUAUACUCUAACCUACUCAUCUUGUGCCAUACUUGCAGAACUGUUCAACAUGAUUGAUUUUCUUGUAUAGCAUUCUUCAACACAACUCAUUGUUGCUUAUUUUUUAUAGUAUGCAAUAUGUGAAUGUACAUUUUUAACAAGGAAACAUUGUCUAUAAUUUUAGUAAACUUUGUUACAGGAGUAGCUGCAGGUUCUCUAUCUAUGUGUGCUCAGAUGAGAGGAAGGAAACUUUGGCUUCAUCGUCAUCAGUGUCAUCACUAGCAAAAGAAAAUGACAGUUAAACACUUACAUUGAUAUCUUUAUCAUAACCAUCAGUUUUACAAAUAAAUUUUAGUUUAUUAUGA